CCGCUCAGAGGUAAACGGGUGGAGUUGAACUGCGAACCCUGAGAAUUCAACUGGUGAGUGUGGUAUGAGCUUGGCAUGAAGGUUGGCUCUGCGGGUCUGCUUAGCUGCAGGUCUUCGCCUUUUGGUGGAGAUGCGCGAUACACUUGUCAAGUGGUGCGCGCUCGUUGAGUUUCUCGGACAUACUUGCCAGUGCACUUUCUCGGGGUGUUCACCACGACCGGCGCCGCUACUUGUCCAAUAUGGUUAAACCGGUCUUGCUUGGUCCCUGUGGCUUUGCUUGAUCGGGAUGGCAGGUAACUCGUUGACUUGUGUGUUGACCUCGGUUGGCAUGCGCUUGGUUUUCGAGUGUAAUCAGCUGACUGUAUUGGUGCUAUGUGGUGCGUCGGAGACGGCGGCUUGUGGUGUGUGCCUGCGUGCCUAUUUGCUGACGGAACCGGGUUUGGUUAUUAUGUUGCCUGUUUUGCAGGCCUGGUGAUGGCUCGGUUUCGCUUGGUGGAUGGGAGCGUGGGUGACACUUAUCAGGGCCUAUAGUCUGUGGUGUUGUGGUAGACUAUCCACCUGACCCGUCUUGAAACACGGACCAAGGAGAGUAACAUGUGCGCGAGUCAUGGGGUGUUACGAAACCCAAAGGCGAAGUGAAAGUAAAGACUUGACUUGUUCGAGUUGAGGUGAGAUCCUGUCGUUUCUCAUGCGCGGUACUUCCAAGCAUUCGAGCGAUGGGCGCAUCACCGGCCCGUCCCAUGGUGUGGUCACUGUCUUCGGAUUGGUGCGUCACCGGGGCGGAGCAUGAGCGCACAUGUUGAGACCCGAAAGAUGGUGAACUAUGCUUGCGCAGGUUGAAGCCAGAGGAAACUCUGGUGGAGGACCGUAGCGAUUCUGACGUGCAAAUCGAUCGUCAAACGUGAGUAUAGGGGCGAAAGACUAAUC
rnacentral:rRNA from 1 species